UGUUUGAAUCAAAGGUGUGGAGUGGGUAUGGAGGGUAAUAGGCAUUUCAGUUAUCCUCAUCCAUCGACUUCCUUUCUAGAUGAUAACUACUCCCUCCGUCCAUCAAUAAUCGUCUCAUUUUGUCAGUUUCGUUCGUCCGCCAAUAAAUGUCUCAUUUGUUUUUUUACUACUUCUGGUAAUGGAGAUCACAUUUCACUAACUUCAUCUCACUCACAUUUUAUUAUAAAACUAAUAUAUAAAAGCAGGAUUCACGUUCCAGUAUCUUUUUCCAUUACAUUUCUUAAAACCCGAGUCAGUUCUUUCUGCACCCUUCUACACUUGCACCAUUGUUGCUUGCGAUUUUUUUCCGUGUGCGAACGAAUUCCAAGAAAAAUUAUCCGUCCCAAUCAUAGUCCGGGAUACGAAGUCCAUACCUAUUGCCUCCGAGAAGGAAGUUCGCAUGUCAUCGAGAAAAUUCAAUCCGAAAACACAGAAGCUUGCAAUUGAGAAUUUUCACAAGCAACCUUUGAUCCUAGUUGGUGAUGAGGAAGAGGAUCAUAAUUAUAAUUACAAUUAACACACUAGUGUGCGAUAUAUGCAUACAAACCAUUACUAUUCCAUCUCGAUUUUACAGAUGCUCUCAACAAACUAGCGGCUGCUCUUUCCUUGCUCAUAAAGUGUGUUAAGAGCUUCUCCCCAUUAUCAAGUUUGGGAUUCCAAUUGGUGACGACAGCCAAAUGGUUAUUUAGUUCAAUAUUUUACUCAUUUACUGUAUUGUCUCAAUAUUUUACUGUAUUGUCUGCUUUCUUCCUGGCAAUGCAGCUUGCUUCUACUUUCAAGUUUGGAGUCAAAUUUAGAAUAUUGCUUUCUCA